AUACGGAGGGUGCGAGCGUUGUUCGGAAUCACUGGGCAUAAAGCGCACGUAGGCGGCCAGGUAAGUGUGAAGUGAAAGCCCACGGCUCACCCGUGGAACUGCUUUGCAUACUGCUUGGCUAGAGGAAGGUAGGGGAGAGCAGAACUCUUGGAGGAGCGGUGAAAUGCGUAGAUAUCAAGAGGAAUACCAGUGGCGAAGGCGGCUCUCUGGUCCUUCUCUGACGCUGAGGUGCGAAAGCUAGGGUAGCGAACGGGAUUAGAAACCCCGGUAGUCC
rnacentral:rRNA from 1 species